rnacentral:rRNA from 1 species
UACGUAGGGAGCAAGCGUUGUCCGGAUUUAUUGGGCGUAAAGAGCUCGUAGGCGGCUUAGCAAGUCAGGUGUGAAAACUCCAGGCUCAACCUGGAGACGCCACUUGAUACUGCUAUGGCUUGAGUUCGGUAGGGGAUCACGGAAUUCCUGGUGUAGCGGUGAAAUGCGCAGAUAUCAGGAGGAACACCGGUGGCGAAGGCGGCUCUCUGGUCCACAACUGACGCUGAGGUGCGAAAGCUAGGGGAGCAAACGGG